rnacentral:misc_RNA from 1 species
GUGAGUCAUCGAAUCUUUGAACGCACAUUGCGCCCUUUGGCUAUUCCGAGGGGCAUACCUGUUCGAGCGUCAUUUAAACCAUCGAGCCUCGCUCGGUAUUGGGCGCGGCCUCCGUGGCCCGCCUGCAACCCGUCGGCGGCACGGCCCGGCUUCAAGCGUAGCAAGAAUCCUCGCUUUGGAGCCGCGGUCGGCGCCUGCCACGCGAACCAUUUUAAAAGUUUGACCUCGGAUCAGGUAGGGAUACCCGCUGAACUUAAGCAUAUCAAUAAGCGGAGGA